AUGCACGCUGGCGGCGUGCCUAAUACAUGCAAGUCGAGCGAACAGACGAGGAGCUUGCUCCUCUGACGUUAGCGGCGGACGGGUGAGUAACACGUGGAUAACCUACCUAUAAGACUGGGAUAACUUCGGGAAACCGGAGCUAAUACCGGAUAAUAUAUUGAACCGCAUGGUUCAAUAGUGAAAGACGGUUUUGCUGUCACUUAUAGAUGGAUCCGCGCCGCAUUAGCUAGUUGGUAAGGUAACGGCUUACCAAGGCAACGAUGCGUAGCCGACCUGAGAGGGUGAUCGGCCACACUGGAACUGAGACACGGCCCAGACUCCUACGGGAGGCAGCAGUAGGGAAUCUUCCGCAAUGGGCGAAAGCCUGACGGAGCAACGCCGCGUGAGUGAUGAAGGUCUUCGGAUCGUAAAACUCUGUUAUUAGGGAAGAACAAAUGUGUAAGUAACUAUGCACGUCUUGACGGUACCUAAUCAGAAAGCCACGGCUAACUACGUG
rnacentral:rRNA from 1 species